rnacentral:misc_RNA from 1 species
GAUGAAGAACGUAGUGAAAUGCGAUAAGUAAUGUGAAUUGCAGAAUUCAGUGAAUCAUCGAAUCUUUGAACGCACCUUGCGCCCUUUGGCUAUUCCGAAGGGCAUGCCUGUUUGAGUAUCAUGAACAUCUCAACUCCUCACGGUUCGCCCGUGACGAGCUUGGACUUUGGGGGUCUUGCCGGCCUGCGGGUCGGCUCCUCUCAAAUGAAUCAGCUUGCCGGUGUUUGGUGGCGUCACAGGUGUGAUAAAUAUCUACGCUUGUGGUUUUCCGCCAGGUAACCUCCAGCGAUGGGGGUUCACUGGAGCUCACGAAUGUCUCUCCUCGGUGAGGACAGCUCUUUGAACGUUUGAUCUCAAAUCAGGUAGGGCUACCCGCUGAACUUAAGCAUAUCAAUAAGCGGAGGA